AAUCACGCCUUGCAAGUAAGAACAAUUUUUUGUGUGUGUCUUAUUAUAUUAUGAGAUGUAUCAUAUUUUAAAAUUCAAUUCUGUACUGUAAAUUUGUACUUUUUGUGUUAUGAUUGCAGUAACGAGGACGUUACUUUUAUAAGCAGGGGAGUAUGUGAGCAAGUCACUAACGUUUCCGGAAUUUAUUCAUGUGUAACCGGUAAUUUUCUAUUUUUAUUGUAACCGGAACCACCGUUUUGAUGACGUAUUAAUAUGCACUUAUGAUAACGCUGGAAUGAAUCAAAGAAACAUCUUAAAAUAAGCCUUUUUAUACCAUCUGCAGGACUACCUGCCACCUUUGUUAAUUAGUAUGAAAUAAAGAUCAUUCAUCAA